rnacentral:lncRNA from 1 species
AUGGCCGUGGAGACAGAGCUGGAGUAUGACCAGCUUCACGUACAUGAAGAUGGAGCACAGAUCACUGCAGCCAGCAGAUGUGACAUUAGGAUGAGCUCAUCCUUGUCUUUAAGGAGGUACAGGCAGUUUGUGCAAGGGCAGAAGACCCUCACCCACCUUGGCCCCAUCUGUAAAGCAAGUUCAUCUAACCAACCCCAACCCCAGGGCACGUCUCUAAAUGAAAUGUUACGUGGAAAAGGAGUGAUUCCAUGGAACAGUUGAAUAAUGGCAAAGCAAGUGAGUCAGCCCUUUGGUCUUCUCUCUAUUUCCGUGAGCUUAUGUCACUGUCUGUCUCCCGUUAUCUCAAAAGGAAAUUUCUCUGAGAAGUCUUCUGCUGGAUAUUUCUCACCUUGAAUUUCCUUUUCCCACAAAACGUGGAAAUGGAUUGAAUCCCUCCACAUAGGGUAGAUGUUGCGUUCUCACCUUCCUCCUGCUGUUGCCGUAGACAUCACAAUAAGUUGUUUGGAUGUGUUUUGUUUUCCUGAAGUCCUUUCUCUACCACCCAGCUACAGGACUGCCAAAAAUUGUCCAUGUUAUGACACCACUUGACUCCAGCCUCAUUAUCUUGCAGUGUAGGAAGACAACCUCUUGAUCUGGGGUGCUGAGAGGGGUCACCUCCCCCUGUACCACACUCCCCAGAUAUUAUGAACCCUACAUCUAACAAAGUACAGGACGACUAGAAAAUGGAAGAAACCUUCAAGAACAGAUCUUGAAGACGUCUGGCACUUGGACCUUGUGGUCCAAGGUAGGUUUCAAGCUUGGUUGGAAUUACAUACUGUUGUGAGCACAGAGUUUGCUGGAUCAUCUUGUGACUGCCUAUGGGCAAAACUUUCCACUAUGCUGAACUUGAUUCUGUAGCUGAUAUCCCAGACAACACCAUGGUCAAAUGGUGUCUAUCCCUCUUGGGCACACAGUCUUUGUUCUUCACAGAAGCUUUAUAUAAAAGCUUUGCUUCAGGUGUUCCCACAUGGAGCUGCACUCUUU